CUAACGCUUGAACACUCAGCCAUCUUACC
rnacentral:tRNA from 1 species